rnacentral:rRNA from 1 species
GACGAACGCUGGCGGCGUGCUUAACACAUGCAAGUCGAACGGAAAGGCCUUUUCGGAGGUACUCGAGUGGCGAACGGGUGAGUAACACGUGGGUGAUCUGCCCUGCACUCUGGGAUAAGCCUGGGAAACUGGGUCUAAUACCGGAUAGGACCGCACUUUAGUGUGUGUGGUGGAAAGUUUUUUCGGUGUAGGAUGAGCCCGCGGCCUAUCAGCUUGUUGGUGGGGUAAUGGCCUACCAAGGCGGCGACGGGUAGCCGGACUGAGAAGUUGGUCGGCCACAUUGGGACUGAGAUACGGCCCAGACUCCUACGGGAGGCAGCAGUGGGGAAUAUUGCACAAUGGGCGCAAGCCUGAUGCAGCGACGCCGCGUGGGGGAUGACGGCCUUCGGGUUGUAAACUCCUUUCGCCAGGGACGAAGCGUUUUGUGACGGUACCUGGAGAAGAAGCACCGGCUAACUACGUG